AGAGUUUGAUCCUGGCUCAGGACGAACGCUGGCGGCGUGCUUAAUACAUGCAAGUCGAACGGAGUUAAGGGUUUCGGCCUUUAACUUAGUGGCGAACGGGUGAGUAACGCGUGAAUAACCUGACUCAAAGAGGGGGAUAACAACGGGAAACUGUUGCUAAUACCGCAUGAGACCACAACACCGCAUGAUGAAGGGGUCAAAGAUUUAUCGCUUUGAGAGGGGUUCGCGUCCCAUUAGGUAGUUGGAGGGGUAACGGCCCACCAAGCCAACGAUGGGUAGCCGAGCUGAGAGGCUGAUCGGCCACACUGGAACUGAGACACGGUCCAGACUCCUACGGGAGGCAGCAGUAGGGAAUAUUGGGCAAUGGGCGCAAGCCUGACCCAGCAACGCCGCGUGAGGGAAGAAGGUUUUCGGAUUGUAAACCUCUGUCCUAUGUGACGAAGGAAGUGACGGUAGCAUAGGAGGAAGCCCCGGCUAACUACGUGCCAGCAGCCGCGGUAAUACGUAGGGGGCGAGCGUUGUCCGGAAUUACUGGGCGUAAAGGGAGCGUAGGCGGUCGAUUAAGUUAGAUGUGAAACCCCCGGGCUUAACUUGGGGACUGCAUCUAAUACUGGUUGACUUAGAGUACAGGAGAGGGAAGCGGAAUUCCUAGUGUAGCGGUGAAAUGCGUAGAUAUUAGGAGGAACACCAGUGGCGAAGGCGGCUUUCUGGACUGAAACUGACGCUGAGGCGCGAAAGCGUGGGGAGCAAACAGGAUUAGAUACCCUGGUAGUCCACGCGGUAAACGAUGAAUGCUAGGUGUAGGAGGUAUCGACCCCUUCUGUGCCGCAGUAAACACAAUAAGCCGUUUCAUGUUUGCAAAAGUACAAAAUAUAUGAAAUAUCCUUGUGGGACGUCAAUUGCAUUUCCGUGAACUAGUUUCGAUGUUUUACCCAUCAGGAGUGUCUAAUUAUUGUACACCAUUGUCAAAUAAUUGGACACUUAAAAAAAUGAUUGUGCUUUUAUCUGUUUGUAUUUUAGCUCGUUGACU
rnacentral:rRNA from 1 species